rnacentral:rRNA from 1 species
CUCAGAACGAACGCUGGCGGCAGGCCUAACACAUGCAAGUCGAGCGCUACCUUCGGGUGGAGCGGCGGACGGGUUAGUAACGCGUGGGAACAUACCCUUUUCUACGGAAUAGCCUCGGGAAACUGAGAGUAAUACCGUAUAAGCCCUUCGGGGGAAAGAUUUAUCGGGAAAGGAUUGGCCCGCGUUAGAUUAGAUAGUUGGUGGGGUAAUGGCCUACCAAGUCUACGAUCUAUAGCUGGUUUUAGAGGAUGAUCAGCAACACUGGGACUGAGACACGGCCCAGACUCCUACGGGAGGCAGCAGUGGGGAAUCUUAGACAAUGGGCGAAAGCCUGAUCUAGCCAUGCCGCGUGAGUGAUGAAGGUCUUAGGAUCGUAAAGCUCUUUCGCUAGGGAUGAUAAUGACAGUACCUAGUAAAGAAGCCCCGGCUAACUCCGUGCCAGCAGCCGCGGUAAUACGGAGGGGGCUAGCGUUGUUCGGAAUUACUGGGCGUAAAGCGUACGUAGGCGGAUCAGAAAGUAUGGGGUGAAAUCCCAGGGCUUAACCCUGGAACUGCCUCAUAAACUCCUGGUCUUGAGUUCGAGAGAGGUGAGUGGAAUUGCGAGUGUAGAGGUGAAAUUCGUAGAUAUUCGCAGGAACACCAGUGGCGAAGGCGGCUCACUGGCUCGAUACUGACGCUGAGGUACGAAAGUGUGGGGAGCAAACAGGAUUAGAUACCCUGGUAGUCCACACCGUAAACGAUGAAUGCCAGUCGUCGGGCAGUAUACUGUUCGGUGACACACCUAACGGAUUAAGCAUCCGC